ACAUGCUUACAACAUAGCGUUAAUGCACUGAAUGCUAUUAGAACUAUGCAGUUAAGAACAUUUGGGCUAGAGUAGUAUUGGGAUGGGUGAGCUCCCCGAAAGUCCUAGUGUUUUACAUGCA
rfam:Picea glauca, whole genome shotgun sequence.